GAGCUUUGGUCCCAACUGGCUGUGCCUAUAGGCUUGUCACUAGGAGAACAUUUGUGUUAAUUGCACUGUGCUCUGUCAAGGAAACUUUGAUUUAUAGCUGGGGUGCACAAAUAAUGGUUGCCGGUCGCACAUGGAUUCGGUAGAACUUUGCCUUCCUGAAUCUUUUUCCCUGCACUACGAGGAAGAACUUGAAUGAGACCUGCCUCAUCAGUCAUGGGAUCAUAGUGUCACAGAUGGAAAAGCAACCAUCAGCUGAAUUGUACUGAACUACACACUUGGCUAAUUCAUCUUAUUGCUCUACACAUCUAAAGGAAGGCUCAUUCUGUUCUUGGAGUCUAGACAGCAUCAGGAGUUGGGCUCAGUGAACAAAACUUUAAUGUCUAGAGCAUUUAUGAGGGUUUUAAUGAUUGGAAAAUCUAUCCUGAGAAUGUGGUCACCAUAUGUGACAGCCUUGCUUUCUAUCUUGUCUUCAGUUUCUGGGAACUGAUGUAAAGUUCACAUCAUGAAUGUAAUUAGGAAUUGUGCAUUUAGAUCCUGAAUGUGGCGAG
rnacentral:sRNA from 1 species